CUGGAAUAGAGGCGUGCUUCACCAGCACCGAGCUACACUGCAAGGCUGAAUGAUUUACGACUGCAGUCUAUCCCCGCUCCUCAAAAGAGAAAAUGACAAAAAAAACCUACCAGCAUUUUCCACCCUUGCUCCUGUCUGUUCUAGUUCCUGUUUUCUAGUUUUUCAUGGGUUUUGACCUUUCUGCCUGCACUGACCCUGAGCCUGCUUACCAUUCUGUGAGGACAGUUGCUGGAGAUGAGAGGCAAAUACAGGGAGUGAACAUUUAAUGAAACAUGGACAGGAACAGAAUACGGAAAGCAUCUGGACAGGGGAAAACAAAAACGACAAUAAUGCUGACACAGGGAUCCAACCAAGGAACAGACAGAUAUAGUAGGGGCAAUCAACAAGGUAAUGGAGUCCAGCAAGCGCUAAUGCGCGUAAUGAUGGUGACAGGUGUGCGUAAAGAUGGAGCGGGAGCAGGCGUGACAGUACCCCUCCCACCUGGGCGAGCCCGACGGGCAGGCCGAGGCGUGGGAGCCCGAUGAGCCGGGCCGAGGCGUGGGAGCCUGACGAGCCGGCCCGAGGCGGGGGAGCCCGACGUGCCAGCUGAGGCAUGACGUAGGAUGGGCGCCUGCGAAGCCAACCAAGGCAAGGAAACCUCUCGAUCCAUUUAAGGCGUGGAAGCCCGACGAGCCAGCUGAGACCCCCCCCGGUUCCUACGGCAGUGGCACCUGGACCCGACAUCACCAACAAAACAAAAACCUCCCUGAUUCUUUGAAUAUUGGUGUCAGCAUUCUGUAAGGACAGACGCUGGAGACAAGAAGCAAGUACAGGGAGUGAACAUCAAAUGAAACAAUGGACAUAUAACAAAAUAAGAACAGUGUCUGGACACGGGGAACAAAACGACAAUAAUGCUGACAAAGGGAUCCAACCGAGGAACAGACAUAUAUAGGAGGGGCAAUCAACAAGAUGUGCUACCCUGUCCCGGUCCUGGUGUUUUAACAGAUGUGCUACCCUGUCCCGGUCCUGGUGUUUCGAAUCUCUCUCAACCUAUUAAUGCUCAGCUGUGAAAAGCCAACUGACAUUUUCUCCUGAGGUGUUGAACUGUUGCAUCCUCUAUAACCACUGUGGUUAUUAUUUUGAUGUAAAAAGGGCUUUUGUAAAAUACAAUUGAUUGAUUGUUUACUGUGCUGGAUGCUG
ensembl:lncRNA